UGGAUAAUGAUGAGGUACUGAUGCAUAAUCCAACACUUGAUCCGAGGUUGGCUUCAGCCAGUCAUAUGAUGUUUAUCUAUGCAACUGAAUCCUC